rnacentral:rRNA from 1 species
GCAAGUCGACUGGAAUUCUUCUUCGGAAGAUAGUACGGUGGCGGACGGGUGAGUAACGCGUAAAGAAUUUGCCCUUCAGACUGGGACAACUAACCGAAAGGUUAGCUAAUACCGGAUAUUAUGAGACCUUGGAAACAAGGACUUAUGGAAGCUAUAUGCGCUGGAGGAGUACUUUGCGUCCGAUUAGGUAGUUGGUAGGGUAAUGGCCUACCAAGCCGACGAUGGGUAGCCGGCCUGAGAGGGUGAGC